UGCAUGAGCUCUUUCACAAACUGAAUUCUGUAUGUAAACUCUGGAAAAGUCCCACACAGGGGAACUCAAGAAGGAAGAUAAAUGAUAUCUAUCAAAGGGAAGAGUCCCGGUGAUCCAAGCAGGAAGAUCUCAGUCCGCUCCUAAGCAACCUAUAGUCAUCUUAGAUCAAGCACCUGAGAGAUUCAAAUUAAAAUUGCGAAAGAGGAAAUCAAUGUCACAGAGAUUGCUAGAUCUUCGUAAUCAGCUGUCUUCAAGGUCAAUGGCAAAUACCAUCGCUUCACCACUGGCUGCAAAAUCCGAGUCAUUGCUCCCCACCUACUGAGAAUGAAAUGGUAAAUUGGGCUCUACAGGAGAAUCCUGUUAAGUAUCUACCACUGAGAAAGACAAGAACAACAAUGCCAUGGGAACAUCAUCAAGGCAUACACCACCUUGGUUUGAACAUACCUUGCUGUUUCUUCAUCAUUGCUGGAUCAAUAUUCUGGAAUUCCCUAUCUCACAGCACCAUUGGAGCAUGAUCAUCACAGGAACUGCAGUGGUUGAAGGUGCGCUAUGACAUUCUCAGGAUAAUUGGAGAUGGAUAAUAAAUGUGACCUUGCCAGCAUCACCCACAUUUUGAGA